GACGUAGGGGGCGAGCGUUGUCCGGAUUUAUUGGGCGUAAAGCGCGCGUAGGCGGUUCGUUAAGUCGGAUGUGAAAAUCCGGGGCUCAACCCCGGACCUGCAUCCGAUACUGGCGGACUGGAGGCAGGCAGGGGAGAUCGGAAUUCCUGGUGUAGCGGUGAAAUGCGCAGAUAUCGGGAGGAACACCGGUGGCGAAGGCGGUUCUCUGGGCCUGACCUGACGCUGAGGAGCGAAAGCGUGGGGAGCGAACAGG
rnacentral:rRNA from 1 species